rnacentral:rRNA from 1 species
GAAUUCCUACGGGGCGCAGCAGUGAGGAAUAUUGGUCAAUGGGCGAGAGCCUGAACCAGCCAAGUCGCGUGAAGGAUGACGGCCCUACGGGUUGUAAACUUCUUUUGUCGGGGAGCAAAAGACGCCACGUGUGGCGUUCCGAGAGUACCCGAAGAAAAAGCAUCGGCUAACUCCGUGCCAGCAGCCGCGGUAAUACGGAGGAUGCGAGCGUUAUCCGGAUUUAUUGGGUUUAAAGGGUGCGCAGGCGGAAGAUCAAGUCAGCGGUAAAAUUGAGAGGCUCAACCUCUUCGAGCCGUUGAAACUGG